AACGAACGCUGGCGGCGUGCUUAACACAUGCAAGUCGAACGCUCUUAGUCCUUCGGGGCGAAAGGGAGUGGCAGACGGGUGAGGAACACGUGGGAACAUACCUUGUAGUGGGGGAUAACGAUUGGAAACGAUCGCUAAUACCGCAUAAGCCCUAAGGGGGAAAGGAGCAAUUCGCUAUAAGAGUGGCCCGCGUUAGAUUAGGUAGUUGGUGGGGUAAAGGCCUACCAAGCCUGUGAUCUAUAGCUGAUUUGAGAGGAUGAACAGCCACACUGGGACUGAGACACGGCCCAGACUCCUACGGGAGGCAGCAGUGGGGAAUAUUGGACAAUGGGCGAAAGCCUGAUCCAGCCAUGCCGCGUGUGUGAAGAAGGCUCUAGGGUUGUAAAGCACUUUAAGUUGUGAGGAAGUAGCGGUUGUGAAUAAUGAUCGUUAUUGACGUUAGCAACAGAAUAAGCACCGGCUAACUCCGUGCCAGCAGCCGCGGUAA
rnacentral:rRNA from 1 species